GCACUUGUAGCUCAGGGGAUAGAGCAGUACCCUCCGGAGGUAUGCGCACGGGUUCAAAUCCUGUCAAGUGCA
rnacentral:tRNA from 1 species